UACGUAGGGUGCAAGCGUUGUCCGGAAUUAUUGGGCGUAAAGAGCUCGUAGGCGGUCUGUCGCGUCUGGUGUGAAAAUCCAGGGCUUAACCCUGGACCUGCAUCGGGUACGGGCAGACUAGAGUUCGGUAGGGGAGACUGGAAUUCCUGGUGUAGCGGUGAAAUGCGCAGAUAUCAGGAGGAACACCGGUGGCGAAGGCGGGUCUCUGGGCCGAUACUGACGCUGAGGAGCGAAAGCGUGGGGAGCGAACAGG
rnacentral:rRNA from 1 species